UACGUAGGGGCAAGCGUUGUCCGGAAUCAUUGGGCGUAAAGAGCGUGUAGGCGGCUCGAUAAGUCUGCUGUGAAAGUCCAGGGCUCAACCCUGGGAUGCCGGUGGAUACUGUCGAGCUCGAGUCCGGAAGAGGCGAGUGGAAUUCCUGGUGUAGCGGUGAAAUGCGCAGAUAUCAGGAGGAACACCAUGGCGAAGGCAGCUCGCUGGGACGUGACUGACGCUGAGACGCGAAAGCGUGGGGAGCAAACAGG
rnacentral:rRNA from 1 species